UCCGUAGGGAGCGAGCGUUGUCCGGAUUCAUUGGGCGUAAAGAGCUCGUAGGCGGCUUGGUAAGUCGGAUGUGAAACCUCCAGGCUCAACCUGGAGUCGCCAUCCGAUACUGCCAUGGCUAGAGUCCGGUAGGGGCCCACGGAAUUCCUGGUGUAGCGGUGAAAUGCGCAGAUAUCAGGAGGAACACCGAUGGCGAAGGCAGUGGGCUGGGCCGGCACUGACGCUGAUGCACGAAAGCUAGGGGAGCAAACAGG
rnacentral:rRNA from 1 species